ACAUGUGAGGCUUGAGCUGGCAGUAGGGUAAAAGGAAAAUCUAAAGAUGAGAAUAUACUCCACUUGUGGCAGCAGUGAUGAGAACUAAACAACACCACUGGCUUAUCUUCACUUUUCACAGGUGUCUAUGUUUUCCAAACUGUGGUGGUGAUAGUGAGGUCAUUUCUGAAAUUUUCCGUAAGAAGGAUGUGUGCUUAUAUAUAGCAAGAAAGCAUCGGAGUCAAAAUUCCUCAAAAGGUGAACGAGUCAUUGAAUUGCGCAUACUCCACCCAUGUGAAGCGUGGUCCAAACAAGAAAGAUGUUUCAAAACAGAAUAGACAAGUCUAUCAAAUCGAAUAAGAUCAAAAAUGCACGAGAGACAACCUUUAGAUCUCCAUCUAAUUGCUUCUUAAGUUUGAUCAUCCUC